rnacentral:lncRNA from 1 species
AAGGUGCAGCGUGAAGCGAGGAGGGCCGCGGAAGAGCAGAGCCGCCUGUCUCGCGGGGUCCCCCUCGGGCGUCACUCCGACAUCCGCACGCGCCUCUGCCCUGGGCCCGUCUGCCUCCUCUGGUAACUUAGCAUCGCGCCGAGGGCGCAGGCCAGGAGACAAACGGUCGUGACACAACGUGGGAAGUGCUCUAACUGGGAAUUAAACGGGGUCACAGAAGAGGGCCCCGCGCCAGGAUUGGCGGGCCUUCAGGGCUCCUGGGAGGAAGCGGAAGCCCACGGAACAACUGUGCUUCAUCAGGUUUCCUGCGUGCUCCUCAAGGUCCAGUGAACUCCUGUGGGAUGAGGGGCCCACGUUACGUGAAGUGUGACUUCACUUUUGGCCAGAAUCAGUCUCGAUACUCCACCUGGUUCCUCUGCUGACAAGAAGCCCUCCUUCUCAGAAAUGUGUGCU